ACGUGCUCUUGCAGCUUUGAAGAUGGAAGGGCCAUGCGAGGGUGGGCAGCCCUGACAAGAGAGUGGACCCUGGCUGAAAGCCAGCAAGUGAACAAGGACUUCAAUCCAACAACGACAAGGAAAUGAAUUCUCUUCAGCCUCAUUAGCUAAGAGCCCAUGCUGGCCAACACCUGGAUUUUGGCCUUCUGAGACCUGAAUCAGAGGACCCACUUGAGCCAUGCCAGACUUCCGAACUACAGACUGGGAGCUGCAGACAGACAAGCACUGAGAGAAGGGAGGAGCCACAGAUGAAAGGAGUCUUCAUCCACGAUUGACCAUUUGGAAGGUCUUUGAGCAAAUUUCGCUGGAGUUUUGACCUCAACCUGGCUAAAGAACUUAAUAAACAGG